UUUUUUUUUUCCAGCUAAGCCUUGGGGUCUCUUCGAGGCAAAGUAACACCUAAAGGGUUACUCUAGCUCAAGUGUUGUUGGGUUGGGGAUUGUGCAGUGUACUUCAUUGCAUGAAAAUUUUCUUUUCUUUUUUUUUUUUUUUUUUAAGAUGUUAUUUAUUUAUUCCUGAGAGACACAGAGAGAGGCAGAGAUACAGGCAGAGGGAGAAGCAGGCUCCAUGCAGGGAACCCAAUGGGGGACUUAAUCCUGGGUCUCCAGGAUCACACCCUGGGCUAAAGGUAGCACUAAACCGCUGAGCCACUCGGGUUGCCCCAUGAAAAUUUUCAUGAAGAUGUCAAGUGACCUAGUGUCUAUCUAACCCAUUCUGCGACAAACUUAUUCUAGCAUGGGAGUCUUUAAUUGAUGACUCAAAGCACUCUAAUAGAUUUUAAGUAUUUGACCCACGACCGACAAUUUUUGCAGCCUUUUGGCCUCUGAGAUCUCCAUUAGCAAAGCCUUUAUCUACACAAAACAGGACAAACAUGUGCACUGUAAUGUACCAGCAGCAACCCAAAGGUGUUACUGUGGACAGGUCAAAAGAAGGCAACCCACACCACCAGUACUUCCCAGCGUGGAUUCAAUCUGUAGACUCCAGUAAAUGGGUACUGCAGACUGGAACUGGGGAAAGGACUGCACCAGCAAACCCCAAUAAGUGGGGAUUGGGGAUUUGAAUUGGUCAAAGAGAUCGCACACAACAGAGGAAUUUCACACUCAACCAAAAGUUCUAAAUGGAACCAUCUGCCAGCCCAAGCUGACCUGCUAAGCCUUGGCCUGGAGAGCCUAAUAGAUUGGGAGCUUGACACUGGGUGUUAUGCUAUAUAUUGGCAAAUCAAACUCCAAUUAAAAAAAAAAUACACAUGGGAACCCUGGGUGGCACAGUGGUUUAGCGCCUGCCUUUGGCCCAGGGCGCGAUCCUGGAGACCCGGGAUCGAAUCCCACAUCAGGCUCCCGGUGCAUGGAGCCUGCUUCUCCCUCUGUCUGUGUCUCUGCCUCUCUCUCUGUCUCUCAUGAAUAAAUAAAUUAUUUAAAAAAAAUAAAAUAAAAAUAAAAAGCAGAAAAUGAUUGAAGCAGACCAAGACUCACAGAGUAGAGGUAUAUUUUGUUCUUAAAUAAAAGUCUUUAUGGAUCCCUGGGUGGCUCAGCGGUUUGACGCCUGCCUUUGGCCCAGGGCGCGAUCCUGGAGACCCGGGAUCGAAUCCCACAUCGGGAUCCCGAUGCAUGGAGCCUGCUUCUCCCUCUGCCUAUGUCUCUGCCUCUCUCUCUCUCUGUGUGUGACUAUCAUAAAUAAAUAAAAAUUAAAUAUAUAUAUAUAUAUAUAUACAAUAAAAUAAAAUAAAAUAAAAUAAAAUAAAAUAAA
rnacentral:lncRNA from 1 species